rnacentral:rRNA from 1 species
UGGGAACCUUCCCUUCGGUCGGGAAUAGCCCAGGGAAACUUGGGGUAAUACCGGAUACGCCCUUACGGGGAAAGAUUUAUCGCCGUUGGAUGGACCCGCGGCGCAUUAGCUAGUUGGUGAGGUAACGGCUCACCAAGGCAACGAUGCGUAGCCGACCUGAGAGGGUGAUCGGCCACAUUGGAACUGAGACACGGUCCAGACUCCUACGGGAGGCAG